GGAGGAUGCGAGCGUUAUCCGGAUUUAUUGGGUUUUAAGGGUGCGUAGGUGGUGAUUUAAGUCAGCGGUGAAAGUUUGUGGCUCAACCAUAAAAUUGCCGUUGAAACUGGGUUACUAGAGUGUGUUUGAGGUAGGCGGAAUGCGUGGUGUAGCGGUGAAAUGCAUAGAUAUCACGCAGAACUCCGAUUGCGAAGGCAGCUUACUAAACCAUAACUGACACUGAAGCACGAAAGCGUGGGGAUCAAACAGGAUUAGAUACCCUGGUAGUCCACGCAGUAAACGAUGAUUACUAGGAGUUUGCGAUACAAUGUAAGCUCUACAGCGAAAGCGUUAAGUAAUCCACCUGGGGAGUACGCCGGCAACGGUG
rnacentral:rRNA from 1 species